GAUGAACGCUAGCGGCAGGCCUAAUACACGCAAGUCGAGGGGCAGCAGGAAUAGCAAUAUUCGCUGGCGACCGGCGCACGGGUGCGUAACACGUAUACAAUCUGCCUUUAACAGGGGGAUAGCCCGGAGAAAUCCGGAUUAAUACCCCAUAACAGUGAUCUUGGCAUCAAGGACACUUAAAAGCUCCGGCGGUUAAAGAUGAGUAUGCGUCUGAUUAGCUAGUUGGUGAGGUAACGGCCCACCAAGGCGACGAUCAGUAGGGGAUCUGAGAGGAUUAACCCCCAAACGGAUACUGAGACACGGAUCCGACUCCUACGGGAGGCAGCAGUAAGGAAUAUUGGACAAUGCCCGCAAGGGUGAUCCAGCCAUGCCGCGUGCAGGAAGACGGCCCUAUGGGUUGUAAACUGCUUUUACACCGGAGAAAACCCCACUACGUGUAGUGGGCUGAUAGUAUGGUGAGAAUAAGCAUCGGCUAACUUCGUGCCAGCAGCCGCGGUAA
rnacentral:rRNA from 1 species